AUUGAACGCUGGCGGCAUGCCUUACACAUGCAAGUCGAACGGCAGCACGGGAGCAAUCCUGGUGGCGAGUGGCGAACGGGUGAGUAAUAUAUCGGAACGUGCCCAGUCGUGGGGGAUAACGUAGCGAAAGCUACGCUAAUACCGCAUACGAUCUAUGGAUGAAAGCGGGGGAUCGCAAGACCUCGCGCGAUUGGAGCGGCCGAUAUCAGAUUAGGUAGUUGGUGAGGUAAAGGCUCACCAAGCCGACGAUCUGUAGCUGGUCUGAGAGGACGACCAGCCACACUGGGACUGAGACACGGCCCCAGACUCCUACGGGAGGCAGCAGUGGGGAAUUUUUGGACAAUGGCGGCAAGCCUGAUCCAGCAAUGCCGCGUGCAGGAUGAA
rnacentral:rRNA from 1 species